UACGUAGGGUGCGAGCGUUGUCCGGAAUUAUUGGGCGUAAAGGGCUCGUAGGCGGUCUGUCGCGUCGGGAGUGAAAACUCAGGGCUUAACCCUGAGCCUGCUUCCGAUACGGGCAGACUAGAGGUAUGCAGGGGAGAACGGAAUUCCUGGUGUAGCGGUGGAAUGCGCAGAUAUCAGGAGGAACACCAAUGGCGAAGGCAGAUCUCUGGGCCGUAACUGACGCUGAGGAGCGAAAGCGUGGGGAGCGAACAGGAUUAGAACCGUACGUCGAGUCCAAGC
rnacentral:rRNA from 1 species